rnacentral:misc_RNA from 1 species
GGGGGAUCUUUUAACAAGACGAAGCUCGAUAAUACAACAAACAUAACUAGUAAAUCUCCAGAAAGAACAACACAAGCAGAGUAAUUUCUUUGAUGUAAGCUAAAAUACUUAUCACCAACACGAGGCGUAGCUAGCUAGGCUCUCGAUGUUAGUAACUACUUGCAUGAAUAUCCGGGGAUCUGUAUGAAGCGUUGCUCCUGUUAUGCAAACUUAUAUCUGUACUAAACCUUCAUCAUCGUUCUCUUGACACAAACAAAGGCGAUAUAUAACCCAUACGAGCAAAGGGAGACCGGAGAAGAGAGACUAUUCUUCACACUCGUACUCCUUCAUCAUCUUCCUAUCCCGAUAAUAGUUGCAACAUACAACUAUUAUCCAACGGAAGUUUCCAUUUCCAUAACUAAGCAACGCCACUAUCCCAUUAUACGUCUUACUAACUAAAUUCAAACUCAUAACCUCCCGAGCUCAUUACGUAUCACCAACAUUAGGCGAAGCUAGACUCUCAAUGUAAGUAAUCGCUUGUACUUGAAGACAAUAACCCAAUGAAUGAAUGUCCAAGGAUUCAUGUGAAGCAUUCCUCGCGUUGUACAAACUUAUAUUAGUACCAAGCCUCACUAAAACCUCACCACCAUUCUCCGACACAGACAAAGGCGAGACAUAACCUAAACGGCCAGAAGGGGCCGUGAUAUUAGAGACCAACUUAGUCCACGACGACUCCACACCAUACUCCUUCAUCACCCACAUAUCCGUCCUAACCGAAUGAUAGUUGCAACAAGCAACUAAACAUCCAUUUAAAACACUCAACGACCAACUAGUGUUCCCAUUUCCACAAUUAGGCAAUGCCAUUAUUCCAUACGUCUCCGUAGACAAAUCCAAUGUCAUUAUCUCCGAAGAAC